AGUGAAUGCUGGCGGCGUGCCUAAUACAUGCAAGUCGAACGGAGUGGCGCACGGGUGAGUAAUGUAUAUCUAAUCUGCCCUACACUAGAGGACAACAGUUGGAAACGGCUGCUAAUACUCUAUAGUGUAGGAUGAGGCUAUAUUGUAUCAGCUAGUUGGUGAGGUAAUGGCUCACCAAGGCUAUGACGCAUAACUGGUCUGAGAGGAUGAUCAGUAGAACUGGAAGUGAGACACGGGCCAGGCACCUGCGGGAGGCGGCAGUAGGGAAUAUUGCUCAAUGGGGGAAACCCUGAAGCAGCAACGCGGGGUGGAGGAUGAUACUUUUCGGAGCGGAAACUCCUUUUGUUAGGGAAGCGGUACCUAACGAAUAAGCACCGGCUAACUCCGUGCCAGCAGCCGCGGUAAUUC
rnacentral:rRNA from 1 species